UAUUGAUUGGUGCUUGCAUCAUGAUUUACAUUUGAGUGAGUGGCGAACUGGUGAGUAACACGUGGGAAACCUGCCCAGAAGCGGGGGAUAACACCUGGAAACAGAUGCUAAUACCGCAUAACAACUUGGACCGCAUGGUCCGAGUUUGAAAGAUGGCUUCGGCUAUCACUUUUGGAUGGUCCCGCGGCGUAUUAGCUAGAUGGUGGGGUAACGGCUCACCAUGGCAAUGAUACGUAGCCGACCUGAGAGGGUAAUCGGCCACAUUGGGACUGAGACACGGCCCAAACUCCUACGGGAGGCAGCAGUAGGGAAUCUUCCACAAUGGACGAAAGUCUGAUGGAGCAACGCCGCGUGAGUGAAGAAGGGUUUCGGCUCGUAAAACUCUGUUGUUAAAGAAGAACAUAUCUGAGAGUAACUGUUCAGGUAUUGACGGUAUUUAACCAGAAAGCCACGGCUAACUACGUGCCAGCAGCCGCGGUAAUACGUAGGUGGCAAGCGUUGUCCGGAUUUAUUGGGCGUAAAGCGAGCGCAGGCGGUUUUUUAAGUCUGAUGUGAAAGCCUUCGGCUCAACCGAAGAAGUGCAUCGGAAACUGGGAAACUUGAGUGCAGAAGAGGACAGUGGAACUCCAUGUGUAGCGGUGAAAUGCGUAGAUAUAUGGAAGAACACCAGUGGCGAAGGCGGCUGUCUGGUCUGUAACUGACGCUGAGGCUCGAAAGUAUGGGUAGCAAACAGGAUUAGAUACCCUGGUAGUCCAUACCGUAAACGAUGAAUGCUAAGUGUUGGAGGGUUUCCGCCCUUCAGUGCUGCAGCUAACGCAUUAAGCAUUCCGCCUGGGGAGUACGGCCGCAAGGCUGAAACUCAAAGGAAUUGACGGGGGCCCGCACAAGCGGUGGAGCAUGUGGUUUAAUUCGAAGCUACGCGAAGAACCUUACCAGGUCUUGACAUACUAUGCAAAUCUAAGAGAUUAGACGUUCCCUUCGGGGACAUGGAUACAGGUGGUGCAUGGUUGUCGUCAGCUCGUGUCGUGAGAUGUUGGGUUAAGUCCCGCAACGAGCGCAACCCUUAUUAUCAGUUGCCAGCAUUAAGUUGGGCACUCUGGUGAGACUGCCGGUGACAAACCGGAGGAAGGUGGGGAUGACGUCAAAUCAUCAUGCCCCUUAUGACCUGGGCUACACACGUGCUACAAUGGAUGGUACAACGAGUUGCGAACUCGCGAGAGUAAGCUAAUCUCUUAAAGCCAUUCUCAGUUCGGAUUGUAGGCUGCAACUCGCCUACAUGAAGUCGGAAUCGCUAGUAAUCGCGGAUCAGCAUGCCGCGGUGAAUACGUUCCCGGGCCUUGUACACACCGCCCGUCACACCAUGAGAGUUUGUAACACCCAAAGU
rnacentral:rRNA from 1 species